rnacentral:rRNA from 1 species
GACGAACGCUGGCGGCGUGCUUAACACAUGCAAGUCGAACGGAAAGGCCCUGCUUUUGUGGGGUGCUCGAGUGGCGAACGGGUGAGUAACACGUGAGUAACCUGCCCUUGACUUUGGGAUAACUUCAGGAAACUGGGGCUAAUACCGGAUAGGAGCUCCUGCUGCAUGGUGGGGGUUGGAAAGUUUCGGCGGUUGGGGAUGGACUCGCGGCUUAUCAGCUUGUUGGUGGGGUAGUGGCUUACCAAGGCUUUGACGGGUAGCCGGCCUGAGAGGGUGACCGGCCACAUUGGGCCUGAGAUACGGCGCAGACUGCUACGGGAGGCAGCAGUGGGGAAUAUUGCACAAUGGGCGGAAGCCUGAUGCAGCAACGCCGCGUGCGGGAUGACGGCCUUCGGGUUGUAAACCGCUUUCGCCUGUGACGAAGCGUGAGUGACGGUAAUGGGUAAAGAAGCACCGGCUAACUACGUG